rnacentral:tRNA from 1 species
UACUUUCUUUGCCUUAGAUUUACAAAAUCUAAAUUCUUAAAAUUUAAACUAUGAAAGU